rnacentral:misc_RNA from 2 species
AACGCACAUUGCGCCCCUUGGUAUUCCGGGGGGCAUGCCUGUUCGAGCGUCAUUAUAACCCUCAAGCCUAGCUUGGUGUUGGAGCAUGCUAUCUAGCAGCUCUUAAAAUCAGUGGCAGUGCCUUCCGGCUCUAAGCGUAGUAAUUCUUCUCGCUAUGGAAACCGGUUGGUCCGCGCCAGAACCCCCAAUUUUCUAUGGUUGACCUCGGAUCAGGUAGGGAUACCCGCUGAACUUAA